ACUAAAAACAAUAACAAAAUUAUUAUUAUAUGAUAUGUAAAAAUAUGGUUUGGACCUUGGGGAUUCAAUUUGGUUGGCCUGUCUACUAUUCGACAGAUCCUCUGCUGCUGCUGCUGCUGCACCAUCUAUCUUUCCCGCGUCUGAACGAACGAACGAACAGAUCCUUUUGUUGCCAACUGUCUCUUUUAGUUUACAUCCAUCAUGAGGUGAGUCGACCAAUGGAGGAAGAUGCACCAACGAAGAAUGAGGAAGAGGAGUUCAACACGGGGCCUCUCUCUGUCUUAAUGAUGAGUGUCAAAAACAAUACUCAGGUUCUUAUUAACUGCAGGAACAAUAAAAAGCUACUAGGACGUGUUAGGGCCUUCGAUCGACACUGCAACAUGGUGCUGGAAAACGUUAGGGAGAUGUGGACUGAGGUGCCCAAGACAGGAAAGGGCAAGAAGAAAGCUCUUCCUGUUAACAAAGACAGAUUUAUUAGCAAAAUGUUUCUUCGAGGUGACUCAGUUAUCAUUGUGCUUAGAAACCCCAAGUGAGAGAAACGUACCGACACCCGUGUAGGUUACUUCACUAAGGAGCGGCUUUGUUGGAUCAUAAGACGUUUCUUCAGUUUGUUUUUUCGAUUGACUUCCACCUGCUGCGGAUGUUUCCUGAACCUCAUCAUCAAGAUAUGCAGGAUUUUGUCGAUUAGGAGUUCUAAAGGAUUUUGUCGAUUAGGAGUUCUAAAUUUCUAGUUCAUUUGGACUUGGGUGUGAAGAAAGAUGCAGCAGGUGGCUGUUUGACUUAUCUUUUGGUUUGUAUGAUUUUUGUUAUAUGACAAGACUCCUAGCUUCCGUGCGGUUGAUCAUGGAUUUAAGUAAGAAAAAGUUACCAAUGACUUAUCUUAUACCAGAUUUUGCCUU